UUUCUCCUUUCUCUAUUUCAGUUGUUCUUCUGUUGAUUUUUCAUGGACAAAUGGGGCACCAUUCACCAUGCUUCUCCUACAGGAUCCCCUCCUAGUGUGGCAGUCAAGGCCACACUUCUCACACCUCUCUCUCCCAUCCAUCAAAACAGCUAGCAGCUCUGAGAUCAUCUGAGCUCCUGCCAGAUUGAGGGUCAGCCAUCCAGGAAGUAUUUAUCAACUUUUAGAAAAGAAGUUUGCAACUUCAAAGAGACUGGGAUUUUUCAUGUUCCAAAGAGAAGAGAAUAGAUUGGCGUGUUAUUUUGCCAUUUUGCCAAGGAAAUAACUACUUUGUUCUCAUGCACAGUGACAUUGGCAAGCUACAGAAGAAGACAACAGAUCCCCUCCAACAGGCAGUUUCCCAUUCCUACAGAGACAAGCCCAUCCUCUUCCCCUAUAGUUGAGCACCAGAAUCCUGUUGGAUGCAAUUGGGGAGUAAUUGAUUAUAUCUCACCAGAACACACAAAAGCAAGGUACGUAAAGAGAACUAAAAUGCUGUACAAAUG
rnacentral:lncRNA from 1 species